AUUGAACGCUGGCGGCAGGCCUAACACAUGCAAGUCGAGCGAGCGGCGGACGGGUGAGUAAUGUAUGGGGACUGCCCGAUAGAGGGGGGUAACUACUGGAAACGGUGGCUAAUACCGCACACUGCCGGAUAAACAAUAUGGGUGUAACUAGUAGGUAAGGUAAUGGCUUACCUAGGCGACGAUCCCUAGCUGGUCUGAGAGGAUGAGCAGCCACACUGGGACUGAGACACGGCCCAGACUCCUACGGAGGCAGCAGUGGGGAAUAUUGCACAAUGGGCGCAAGCCUGAUGCAGCCAUGCCGCGUGUAUGAAGAAGGCCCUCGGGUUGUAAAGUACUUUCAGUCGGGAGGCGUUACCGACAGAAGAAGCACCGGCUAACUCCGUGCCAGCCGCCGCGGUAAUUC
rnacentral:rRNA from 1 species